GGUUGGAAAGGAAACUGUUUCAAGAUUUUUGCUUUAUGGGUGGGGAGCU
rnacentral:ncRNA from 1 species